CAAUAGCGUAUAUUUAAGUUGUUGCAGUUAAAAAGCUCGUAGUUGGAUUUCGGGUAGGAUUUGCCGGUCCGUCUUUGAGAUGUGUACUGGUAAGUCCUAUCUUCUUGUCGGGGACCAGCUCCUGGGCUUCACUGUCCGGGACUGGGAGCCGACGAAGUUACUUUGAGUAAAUUAGAGUGUUCAAAGCAAGCCUACGCUCUGAAUACAUUAGCAUGGAAUAACACGAUAGGACUCUGGCUUAUCUUGUUGGUCUGUGAGACCAGAGUAAUGAUUAAGAGGGACAGUCGGGGACAUUCGUAUUUCAUUGUCAGAGGUGAAAUUCUUGGAUUUAUGAAAGACGAACUUCUGCGAAAGCAUUUGUCAAGGAUGUUCUCAUUAA
rnacentral:rRNA from 1 species